CCAAAACAUCUGCUGGUUUGCAGCUGUGCUAAGAUUUAUGGAGGAGGUGCUGCCCAUGCAAUCAGCAUUGCCCUCAGGUCCCCAAAGCUACCUAUUCUUUCCUCAUCCUCUACUCCUCUUUAAACACAGCUGUGUGCUCUGUUUUUCACAUUUCUCUUCCCCACUUCAUUUCUAAUCAUUUACACCUAGAUCUUGACCUCAAAUGUCUCCUUGGAUCAUGACUUUAUGAGUUACUUCCCUCAGUCCCCUCCUACCUCUUGGUUUCGCAAUCAGCCUUCAACAUCACAGCACACCGGUGCUCAGCCAGAACCUCUCCCUGUGCUACGCCAAGCCUUAACUUCCUGCCGGAUCUGGCCCCACACCACAAGCUCUCCUCAAGAACCAGGCAGAGCUGGCUGACCUGUUUGUGCCACAGCCAGAUGCCUCUGUGUAGCAGGGCCUCAUUGAGAGAUGUGGCAUCAAGCAGAUGGUGCCUGAUACAGGGUGCAGGACAGCAUGGAAAGCCAGAGAUGGCUGCACUCAGGGGAAGGUAUCUUGUUGCUGUUCCUGAAGAGACGCCAAGGACUUCACAGGAGAAUCUUGGGCUUUCCUGCACUCAAGAGUAGUUUGCCUAGAAGGAGGAGGAAGGAUUUGUGCAAGGAGUACAGCCAAAGCUGGAUGACCACUGGUGGAUUAUCUACAGCUGCAGAGAACCGUCUGGAAGCCACUCUCUCAGACUGUGAGGAUGAAUCAUUCUGUGGCUACCACAAAUCAGGACCCUGUGACAAGUGCCCUGAGCUCUUGCAAACCCAUCAAAUGGGAGCAGGAUGGAGUGAGACAAUGUUGAAGACAAUGUUGUAUGAGAUGUAGCACCAUAAUAAUAAGACCCCUGGAACAGUCAUCUUCACCUCUCCAAGACCUUUACUUAUCUCUGCUUCAUGGGCCCAACCACUCCAGCCCACGUUCUGCACAACAGUUUCCAUGAUCUUGCGGACCAUCAGCAGGCUGUGAGACUUCUCUUAUGUCUGAGUAUCAGCAAGACUCCAUCUGGAAUUUAAUCCAGCACAGUAUCUCUGCAAUACCUGAAUACUGCAUGCAGCCUAACACCAAAUAAAGUCAAUGGUAAGCAACA
rnacentral:lncRNA from 1 species